CCAGAUCUCCGGGCUGCACGCACUAAGCGACGAAUGUCGUGGAGCGAGGAAACUCCGGGCUUCGCCGACACACCCCAGCAGGUAAUGCCUGCCCGCCGCGAGGCGAGCCNNNNNNNNNNACGGCAACAGAGACGAGCCGUCCCAGUCGGGACGGGUGGGGCGGGGGAAGCAACCGCAAGAAGUGCUUUGGUGGCGGGCAAGGAGGCGCCUGGCGACAGGCGUCCAAGAGGAAUGGCAGCCCUCGACAGCACCCGGCUUACAGGGGAUCUGGUCUC
rnacentral:RNase_P_RNA from 1 species